rnacentral:rRNA from 1 species
GACGAACGCUGGCAGCGUGCUUAACACAUGCAAGUCGAACGGUAAGGCCCUUCGGGGUACACGAGUGGCGAACGGGUGAGUAACACGUGGGUGAUCUGCCCUGCACUUCGGGAUAAGCCUGGGAAACUGGGUCUAAUACCGGAUAGGACCACUGCCUACAUGGGUGGUGGUGGAAAGCUUUUGCGGUGUGGGAUGGGCCCGCGGCCUAUCCGCUUGUUGGUGGGGUGAUGGCCUACCAAGGCGACGACGGGUAGCCGGCCUGAGAGGGUGACCGGCCACACUGGGACUGAGAUACGGCCCAGACUCCUACGGGAGGCAGCAGUGGGGAAUAUUGCACAAUGGGCGCAAGCCUGAUGCAGCGACGCCGCGUGAGGGAUGACGGCCUUCGGGUUGUAAACCUCUUUCAGCACCGACGAAGCGCAAGUGACGGUAGGUGCAGAAGAAGGACCGGCCAACUACGUGCCAGCCGCCGCAGUAA